CCAUUGCAUUUUUAAACUUCUUUUCUUAAUCAAAUUUUUAAAUAUACUUGACUAUACUUGACUGAAAAUUUUCAAAAAAACUAAAAAGAACUAACUCAUUCAAACCAUUUUAGGCCUUUGUGCCUUUCAAACCUAAUUUUUGUUAAAAGCAAUGUAUCCACUUUGAAAUUUAUACCACGAACUACGAGGUUUUGAUCCUUCAUUUUUAUGUUGGUACGUAGGCACAAGUCCGAAGGUCUUGACAAACACAAAAAUAUAAUUAACGAAUUCUU
rnacentral:lncRNA from 1 species